rnacentral:rRNA from 1 species
AUUGAACGCUGGCGGCAGGCUUAACACAUGCAAGUCGAGCGGAGAGAGGUAGCUUGCUACUGAUCUUAGCGGCGGACGGGUGAGUAAUGCUUAGGAAUCUGCCUAUUAGUGGGGGACAACAUUUCGAAAGGAAUGCUAAUACCGCAUACGUCCUACGGGAGAAAGCAGGGGGUCUUCGGACCCUGCGCUAAUAGAUGAGCCUAAGUCGGAUUAGCUAGUUGGUGGGGUAAAGGCCUACCAAGGCGACGAUCUGUAGCGGGUCUGAGAGGAUGGUCCGCCACACUGGGACUGAGACACGGCCCAGACUCCUACGGGAGGCAGCAGUGGGGAAUAUUGGACAAUGGGCGCAAGCCUGAUCCAGCCAUGCCGCGUGUGUGAAGAAGGCCUUAUGGUUGUAAAGCACUUUAAGCGAGGAGGAGGCUACUUUAGUUAAUACCUAGAGAUAGUGGACGUUACUCGCAGAAUAAGCACCGGCUAACUCUGUGCCAGCCGCCGCUGUAACAC